AAAUCAUCGUGAUGACUUUCUGGCAUGAUUGGUGGUAAAGGCAGCAGCUUGCUCCAGAACAGGCUGGCGGGCUUAGAUUCUACAGCUCCUAGAUCCCCAGAGAAGCCCAAGGGCUGGCUGGCCUCUGCUCACGCCAACCAGCUGAAGGCCACAGAGACCCUGGCUCUAAACUUUGGAAAACUGAAGCUAAUUGGGACAGGGCUCAAAGAAAAAUCUUUAGCCGAGCAGAGACUGACUUCAUUUCCCAUCCACUGGCCUCCGAGCGCUGCCUGCCUCAUAGGAGAUGCCACAGAAUGUAGGAAAAAAAGCAGCCCUUGGCACACUUCCCAAGGGGCCUGCUUGAGACCCAGCAAGGAAACCAGGAGAUGGGAAAUCAGAUUCUGUCCACUUAGCUGUGCAACCUUAGGCAAGUGACUAGACCUCUCUGACCUUCAGACUGAUAUUUAUUAAAAAAAAAGAUUGUGCCUUUGUUCAA
rnacentral:lncRNA from 1 species